GGAGCUUGCUCCACCGAAAGAAAAAGAGCGGCGAACGGGUGAGUAACACGUGGGUAACCUGCCCAUCAGAAGGGGAUAACACUUGGAAACAGGUGCUAAUACCGUAUAACACUAUUUUCCGCAUGGAAGAAAGUUGAAAGGCGCUUUUGCGUCACUGAUGGAUGGACCCGCGGUGCAUUAGCUAGUUGGUGAGGUAACGGCUCACCAAGGCAACGAUGCAUAGCCGACCUGAGAGGGUGAUCGGCCACACUGGGACUGAGACACGGCCCAGACUCCUACGGGAGGCAGCAGUAGGGAAUCUUCGGCAAUGGACGAAAGUCUGACCGAGCAACGCCGCGUGAGUGAAGAAGGUUUUCGGAUCGUAAAACUCUGUUGUUAGAGAAGAACAAGGAUGAGAGUAAAAUGUUCAUCCCUUGACGGUAUCUAACCAGAAAGCCACGGCUAACUACGUGCCAGCAGCCGCGGUAAUACGUAGGUGGCAAGCGUUGUCCGGAUUUAUUGGGCGUAAAGCGAGCGCAGGCGGUUUCUUAAGUCUGAUGUGAAAGCCCCCGGCUCAACCGGGGAGGGUCAUUGGAAACUGGGAGACUUGAGUGCAGAAGAGGAGAGUGGAAUUCCAUGUGUAGCGGUGAAAUGCGUAGAUAUAUGGAGGAACACCAGUGGCGAAGG
rnacentral:rRNA from 1 species